rnacentral:rRNA from 1 species
GACAGAGGGUGCAAACGUUGUUCGGAAUUACUGGGCGUAAAGCGCGUGUAGGCGGCUUGGCAAGUCGGGUGUGAAAGCCCUGGGCUCAACCUAGGAAGUGCACUCGAAACUGCCUCGCUGGAGUGCCGGAGAGGAAGGCGGAAUUCUCGGUGUAGAGGUGAAAUUCGUAGAUAUCGAGAGGAACACCGGUGGCGAAGGCGGCUUUCUGGACGGUUACUGACGCUGAGACGCGAAAGCGUGGGGAGCAAACAGG